GUCAUUAAUCUUGGAACAAAUUGUAUGGAACAAAUUAUUCGCUUAGUAGCGAAAGUCAUAAACAGAUGGCGCUACUAUCGUAUCACCCAAACAAAUUGAAAAGCAAGUAAAUGAUGUAACCUACGCUGUUAAGCGUAAACAUUACUUAAACUUGGAUUAUACUGUGAUCAGAGUAUGCCAUCAUGUACGUUUCUACCAAUUUAGUAGAUUAGCAAUGAUUCAAUACUGGAUAGAAUACUGUUUAAUAAAUAUCACCACGUUUAAUCAAUAUAAAAGAUAUAUUUAAAUUGUUUGUAAUAAGUUUUUAGGAUACAAUAAAGAAUAAAAAAAAUAUAGAAAUGACUACAUGGCUAGGUACCUACAUAAUAUAAGAUUUAUGGUAGAAAUUAAAUUUAAGUAACUAAUAACAACUUGUCAAAAUAAUUUUCAAAAUAAGCGGUUGUGAUUACAAUAUUUUUCCAUUUCGUUUUGUGCUUUUUCUGCUGCCUCCCCUGUUGGUCCAGAUAUAUACCAGAAUCGAAGAGUCUGUCGCAUGCAUUUUGAAGAGAAGUACCAUUGUAGGUUUAAUAGACUCAGCAACAUAGCUGUGCCAACCAUGAACAUGCCUUGCCUCAACGCAAAUACAACAGUGGAAACACCAUUGCUAAAUGAACAGCAUCUGCUGAAUGUUCCAUCUGUAAACGUAAUUAUAUAUCAGAAGAAGGUAUUAAAGAAAAGAUUAAAAGGAAAAGACAGAAAAGUAAGUUUAUUAUGGGCAUUUCUUGAUGAUGUUAGGGGGGCUGGAUAAACUAAAGAAACUCUGAAUCUUACAGGCUAGCUAGUUGAUGUAUGGUAUGGGCAAGGAUUUGACAUGUGUGAGGCAUCUCCUCACACAUUUUGGUUGUAUGAGUAGGUAUCUUAUGAACAAAUUAUUAUAACAUUUUAAUAAAUUAAUUAUUAUCUUAUUUUCAGCUAACACCUCAAAGAUAUGCGGUAAAUUGAGCCAAACGGAGCUGGAGUUAUUUACAAAAUUAAAGCUUGCCAAAAGAAAACUAAAAAGAGCAAGAAGAAGAUUUCCAUUCAAGCUAGACAAAUAAAAGCAAUAUGCGAGUCGAGUAUUCAGUGCAACUGUUGCAUCGAACAUGGGAUACCUUGCAGACAAGAAAAUACUCCCUGAAGAAUGCAAGGAGACUGCUGAUAUAUUAUUAUUAUUUGAUAAAUUAUUUGAUUCAGUCAACGGUAGCUUCAAUAAAAAGACGCGUUUCGCAAAGCCGCUUUUAGGUCCAGCAACACCAACAUUUCUUCACCACAAAACUUGGGACGAAGGAAGAAAAAUAUUAAAAACUAUGAAAUUUGUUACUGCUGUAGGUAAAAAGGAAGUGGUAGGUACCCACAAUUAAUAGUUGGUUGUGGACAAUGGAAGGAAUGGAGAUUUUAUUUAAAAAAUUGAAAGAGGGACAUAAUGUAACCUCAAUUUGGAUGCGCCACCUGAACCAAGACCCAAUUGAAAUUUUUUUUGGUGCCAUUAGAUCCCACGGAAGCCGCAACAACAACCCGACCCCGGAGCGGUUUGAAUCAGCAUUUACGACCUUGUUAAUCAAUAGCCUGACCAGUGUCCACGCCCCGGGAGGGAAUUGUGAAAAAGAUUUAGGAGAAGCACUUAUAAACUUGAUUGAUGAAGACUGCAAAGGCAAUGUCGUCUCAUCAUGUGAAGUGCUUUUGACUGAUAUUUUAUCCAUAGAACUAGAGUCAAUGGAAUCAAAGAAGGAUCCUAAAAUAUUAGCUCCCUUACAAUAUGUAAGAGGACACUUUAUCAAAAAAUCGAAAAAGAUUUACAAAACAUGUAAAACAUGCCACGAUACGUUAUUGGCAGGUGAAGAAACAGAGUACAUCAGGUACAGAGAAUAUGCAGGUCGUCGUUGGCUU